rnacentral:tRNA from 1 species
GGAGGGUACAGCUCAGUGGUAGAGUGUGUGCUUAGCAUGCACAGGGUCCUGGGUUCAAUCCCCAGCACCUCCA